rnacentral:rRNA from 1 species
ACCUCAAGAUUAGAUUUCCCAUAGCAUAAGCUAGUAAGGUCCCCGGAAGACUACCGGGUUGAUAGGCUGCAGGUGUAAGCGUAGCGAUACGUGUGCUAGGCAGUACUAAUAGACCGAGGGCUUGACCUA